rnacentral:rRNA from 1 species
UACAGAGGUGGCAAGCGUUGUUCGGAAUUACUGGGCGUAAAGGGCGCGUAGGCGGCCUUCUAAGUCAGACGUGAAAUCCCCCGGCUUAACCUGGGAACUGCGUCUGAUACUGGGAGGCUAGAGUAUGGGAGAGGGAUGUAGAAUUCCAGGUGGAGCGGUGAAAUGCGUUGAGAUCGGAAGGAACGCCCGUGGCGAAAGCGAGGCCCUGGACCCUUACUGACGCUGAGACGCGAAAGCCAGGGGAGCGAACGGG